CAUAAAGAGAAAUAUAUUAUUAGAGACAAAGUCUCCCAUAUCGGAAAUCGGAAAAGAAUCUACGUAAUAUAUAAGAUUAGGAAUGUUAUAUAGGGUUGUGAGAUUUAGGUUUGGCCCAGCCCAUCUAAUAAUUUAAGAACCCUAACCCUAAUGCAUUACUCUUAAAGUGUUUAGGACUGAUUUAGGGUUGGGCUAAAGAAAUAAAGGGUAUUGACAGGGUUGACUCUAUUAGAUAACUUUUGUUUUUUUUUUGUUAAAGAACAAUGUUUUGGUGUAGGGAUAAAACUUCAAAAAACCAACAUCCUUCCAAAUUCGCCAAGUUUUCCCACCAAAACCAAGAAAUCGAAGUUUCCGCAAAAACUGUAAAACAAGAUUUUCCGCCAAAACCGAGAAAUCGAGGUUUCCCGGCAAAACCGAGAAAUCGAGAUUUCCUGCCAAAAUCGAGAAAUCGAGGUUUCCCACCAAAACCAAAAAAUCGAGGUUUCUCGCCAAAACCAAAAAAUCGAGGUUUUCCGCCAAGACCGAAAAAUCGAGGUUUCCCGCCAAGACCAAAAAAUCUAGUUUUUCCGCCAAAACUGUAAAACAAGAUUUCCCGCCAAUACCGAAAAAUCGAGGUUUCCCGCCAAAAUCGAGAAAUUAAAUUUUCUUGCCAAAGCCGUAAAAUAAGAUUUCCCACCAAAACCGAAAAAUCGAGGUUUCCCGCCAAAACCGUAGACCAAGAUUUUCCUCCAAAACCGAAAAAUCAAGUUUUCCCGUCAAAACUGAAAAAAUCAAAAUUUUGCCAAAACUAUAAAACAA